rnacentral:rRNA from 1 species
UAGGGAAUCUUCGGCAAUGGACGGAAGUCUGACCGAGCAACGCCGCGUGAGUGAAGAAGGUUUUCGGAUCGUAAAGCUCUGUUGUAAGAGAAGAACGAGUGUGAGAGUGGAAAGUUCACACUGUGACGGUAUCUUACCAGAAAGGGACGGCUAACUACGUGCCAGCAGCCGCGGUAAUACGUAGGUCCCGAGCGUUGUCCGGAUUUAUUGGGCGUAAAGCGAGCGCAGGCGGUUAGAUAAGUCUGAAGUUAAAGGCUGUGGCUUAACCAUAGUAGGCUUUGGAAACUGUUUAACUUGGGUGCAAGAGGGGAGAGUGGAAUUCCAUGUGUAGCGGUGAAAUGCGUAGAUAUAUGGAGGAACACCGGUGGCGAAAGCGGCUCUCUGGCUUGUAACUGACGCUGAGGCUCGAAAGCGUGGGGAGCAAACAGGAUUAGAUACCCUGGUAAUCCACGCUGUAAACGAUGAGUGCUAGGUGUUAGACCCUCUCCGGGGUUUAGUGCCGUAGCUAACGCAUUAAGCACUCCGCCUGGGGAGUACGACCGCAAGGUU